GACGAACGCUGGCGGCAUGCCUUACACAUGCAAGUCGAACGGUAACGGGCCUUCGGGUGCCGACGAGUGGCGAACGGGUGAGUAAUGCAUCGGAACGUACCUUUCAGUGGGGGAUAACGUAGCGAAAGUUACGCUAAUACCGCAUAUUCUGUGAGCAGGAAAGCAGGGGAUCGCAAGACCUUGCGCUGAUUGAGCGGCCGAUGUCAGAUUAGCUAGUUGGUGAGGUAAAGGCUCACCAAGGCGACGAUCUGUAGCGGGUCUGAGAGGAUGAUCCGCCACACUGGAACUGAGACACGGUCCAGACUCCUACGGAGGCAGCAGUGGGGAAUUUUGGACAAUGGGGGCAACCUGAUCCAGCCAUGCCGCGUGAGUGAAGAAGGCCUUCGG
rnacentral:rRNA from 1 species